ensembl:lncRNA
AUGGUUCCUCAAUACUUUCAACCCCUUGGUGGACAAUCCCAAUAUGCGAUUGUACCUUCCACUGGAGGUGCGCAAAUCAAUGUUAUGGUGGACCGUCCACAACAAUGUCUGCGCUGGUCUCCCUUUCAAGCAGUCCGAACCAACUAUAUUUUUAACAACGGACUCAUCCUUACGCGGUUGGGGGGCCCACACAGGGGAAUUAAAAGUACAAGGCAUUUGGUCAAAGGAAGAAGCAGGCGAGCACAUAAACUACUUAGAACUUCUCGCAGUACAAAAGGCACUGAAAGCUUUCGAACCAGCUCUCACAGGACAUGUCGUUCAAGUCAUCACCGACAAUACGACUACAAAGUACUAUCUAAACAGACAAGGAGGAACGAGAUCAAAGCGACUUCUUCAACUCUCCCUUCAAUUGUGGAAUUGGUGCAUCGACAAGGAAAUAGACCUAACGGCGAUACAUCUGCCGGGAGAAGAAAAUGUCCUUGCAGACCAACUAAGCAGGACAUCUUUUGCGAACCACGAAUGGUCACUCCACGAGGAAGUAGUGAAGAUGUUAUUCAAUUACUGGGGAGUCCCGAACAUAGACCUAUUUGCUUCACCACAAAAUUCGAAAUGCCCUCUGUACUGUGCUUGCCAACCUGCCAAUCUGAGACCAGGAUGUCUAGGGGAUGCGUUCCUUCAACAGUGGAACGGCAAAUUUCUAUAUCUGUUUCCACCAAUUCCCCUUAUCACGAAGGUGAUUUCCAAAAUACAGAAGGACAAAACAAAUUGCAUUCUAAUCACCCCGUGGUGGCCUCGACAGCCAUGGUUUGCAAGCCUUUUACUUCUGUCCAAGAGGGAGUACAUUCGCCUACCAAGCCGCCCGAAUUUGUUAUCAACCCAGGGAGGUAUGGUCUGGCAUCCGGAUGUGCAUCAACUCAAGUUGACAGCGUGGCGAAUUCGUUAAAUGCAGUGACUCCAACAUUAUCUGCUUCAGUGCAAAAGAUACUGUCAGCAGCACAUAGAACGUCCACAAAGAGAUCAUACAUGUAUAAAUGGACUCGAUUUAAAACAUUCGCUCAACAUAAGGGAGUUCAACCAGAAUCGGCUCCGUCUGCCAUAGUACUAGACUUCUUGGGCUCACUUGUAGAUGCAGGAUUAUCAUUAUCAUCGCUGAAAUGUUAUCUUGCUGCAAUAUCCUGGUAUAGGAGGAAAGCUGGUUUACCAUCAUGUUUCACAGACCCAUUAAUUGCACUAUUUCUUCGAGGUUUUAAGAAUCUGAGACCAUCAGUCGCUCCUAUAGUUCCAUGCUGGAGUUUGGAAUUAGUACUGUCGUCUUUAAUGAAGCCUCCAUUCGAACCCCUGGCUACUGCGGAUUUAGCUUACCUGUCUUGGAAAACAGCGUUUUUAGUAGCAAUUACGUCUGCUAGACGAGCGAGCGAACUGUGUGCUCUUCGGGCGGAUGCCCCAUAUAUAAGAUUUCAUAAAGAUAAAGUGGUGUUGCGCACUGAUGUCUCGUUCCUCCCAAAAGUAGUAUCUGUGUUUCAUACUUCCCAGGAAAUAGUCCUUCCAGCCUUUUUCAAAAAUCCAUCAACAGCACUAGAAAGGAAUUUACACAUGCUAGAUGUUCGAAGAGCGCUGGCUUUUUACAUUGACAGAACAGCUGAUUUUCGUAAAUCUCCAAGAUUAUUUCUGAAAUAUCGUGAAGACACUAAGGGUGCACCAGUUUCCACACAACGGCUGUCGGCAUGGAUUGUAGCUACGAUUCGAUACGCGUACAAGCUAGCUGGCCGAGAGUUGCCAGAACAUGUUAGAGGCCAUUCAACGAGAUCUAUGUCCACCUCAAUGGCCUUUAUGAAAGGUGUGCCCAUGGAUGCCGUUUGCCGUGCAGCUGCUUGGUCCAAUCCAUCAACAUUCAUCAGACAUUACAAGGUUGAUGCAGUGUCUCGAGAGGAUGCUGCGUUUGGAAGAGCAGUACUUUUUUCUACGGUGGCAUGA